rnacentral:lncRNA from 1 species
UAGAGACCUAAGAGAUGAUGAACAAAAACAAAGAAAUGAAAGCAAAGUAGAUCCCUAAGGCUAAGCGACUGAAGCAACCGUUACACCCAAAUAACUCCACCAACUCUGUCGUCUCUUUCAUCUCCAGCCUCAGAAAAUCGACCGAGGUUCAAUCGCAAUUUGAAAUGCAUUCAACCAAAUUAAUUACAGCAAGCUUGUUGAGGUCGAUUUGAAUUCUGGUCGAGGUCGCCAGUGUAAUUCCCUAUCCGGUCAGUUGGUUCCAACUUCAUUUCUUUUAUUCGUGUUGCAAUUUAUUCCAUUUUUUAUCCGAAUUCCG